rnacentral:sRNA from 1 species
UGUUUUCUGUGUAUGCACAUGUACAUUUCAUUUACUUAUUUUUCACACUCAGAGGGCAUUUGCCAUGCCACAUGUACAAAUGUCAAAAGAUCACUUUUGAGAGUCAGUUAUCUCCUCUCCAGGCAGAUCUCAGGGUUCAAAUUCAGGUUGUCAGUCCUUGCUGGGAGUAUUUAUACCCACUGAGUCAUCUUAGGGGAGGCAAAAAUUGCCACGAGUAAACAAAACCAAUGAGAUCAGUAGCUCUGGUAAAAACAGGAAAAGAAAGAAGAAAAAAAAAAGCUGGUAAAAAAACAAGCAGGGUCAUUUCCUUUAAGUGCUUCUGUUAGAGGAAAACAAAACUAAACCUCAGAGCCAAAAGUAAGUUAGAGGUUAACUGAAAUGGAUUGGUCAGAAAACGCAACAAAGCAAGUUGUUUCACUUUGUCCUGAGGUUCAUUAUAUAAAGAAGUCCCCUUGAACUUUCUAUCUCCUUUAGUUUGGUGUUCUGUGAUGUGGGAAUUGCUUCCUACUCAGCUAAACUUCUCAAAAAUCCUGCUUUAUCCUAAACUCUCAAAUUUGCAAACGGGCCAAGCAGGGGAUCAGAGGGUGCCAACUUCAGGAUGCCUUCCAUAAAUAUCCCAAUAAUACUUAUAGGCGGUCUGGCAGGUCUCUGCAUAUGUGCUGUUUCAAGUCUUUUCGAGUACGUGACCAGCCAUAAAGAUGACAAUAGGGAUAUAGGAGCCCAGAAGACAUCCAAAGAGCAUUCAAAGAAGUCCAAGUGAAAUCUACCAUGUAAUUAAGCAAAUCUAAAGAGAACCUUUCACUGGAACCCAAAGAUAUACUCCACCUUCUGGGCUUUCAUAAACCAAGAUCUUCCUUUCCUGACAAAUAAGGAAAUAUCUUACCCAUUGCUUGCACCCUGAAUCUUGUGAUUUGAUGCGGUUUGAUCAAUCAUAGUCUAUUGAAUAAAUAGUAAUCUAAUAUGUAUUUUAACCAAAAGUUCUUCCCAGGGCAUUUAUUGUUUUGUUGUGUGGGCAUCUAUGAAUCUUAUUGUGUAAAUGCUGGUAUUCCCUUGCCUGAGUUUGUAGGUUGGAAGAACAAAUAUCUACAACUGUGAUUUUCAAUAAUCAUUUAUUUACUUAAUAA